rnacentral:rRNA from 1 species
UUAAGCGACUAAGCGUACACGGUGGAUGCCCUGGCAGUCAGAGGCGAUGAAGGACGUGCUAAUCUGCGAUAAGCGUCGGUAAGGUGAUAUGAACCGUUAUAACCGGCGAUUUCCGAAUGGGGAAACCCAGUGUGAUUCGUCACACUAUCAUUAACUGAAUCCAUAGGUUAAUGAGGCGAACCGGGGGAACUGAAACAUCUAAGUACCCCGAGGAAAAGAAAUCAACCGAGAUUCCCCCAGUAGCGGCGAGCGAACGGGGAGCAGCCCAGAGCCUGAAUCAGUGUGUGUGUUAGUGGAAGCGUCUGGAAAGGCGCGCGAUACAGGGUGACAGCCCCGUACACAAAAAUGCACAUAUUGUGAGCUCGAUGAGUAGGGCGGGACACGUAGUAUCCUGUCUGAAUAUGGGGGGCCCAUCCUCCAAGGCUAAAUACUCCUGACUGACNGGAGCCCAGAGCCUGAAUCAGUGUGUGUGUUAGUGGAAGCGUCUGGAAAGGCGUGCGAUACAGGGUGACAGCCCCGUACACAAAAAUGCACAUAUUGUGAGCUCGAUGAGUAGGGCGGGACACGUGGUAUCCUGUCUGAAUAUGGGGGGACCAUCCUCCAAGGCUAAAUACUCCUGACUGACCGAUAGUGAACCAGUACCGUGAGGGAAAGGCGAAAAGAACCCCGGCGAGGGGAGUGAAAAAGAACCUGAAACCGUGUACGUACAAGCAGUGGGAGCACGCUUAGGCGUGUGACUGCGUACCUUUUGUAUAAUGGGUCAGCGACUUAUAUUCUGUAGCAAGGUUAACCGAAUAGGGGAGCCGAAGGGAAACCGAGUCUUAACUGGGCGUUAAGUUGCAGGGUAUAGACCCGAAACCCGGUGAUCUAGCCAUGGGCAGGUUGAAGGUUGGGUAACACUAACUGGAGGACCGAACCGACUAAUGUUGAAAAAUUAGCGGAUGACUUGUGGCUGGGGGUGAAAGGCCAAUCAAACCGGGAGAUAGCUGGUUCUCCCCGAAAGCUAUUUAGGUAGCGCCUCGUGAAUUCAUCUCCGGGGGUAGAGCACUGUUUCGGCAAGGGGGUCAUCCCGACUUACCAACCCGAUGCAAACUGCGAAUACCGGAGAAUGUUAUCACGGGAGACACACGGCGGGUGCUAACGUCCGUCGUGAAGAGGGAAACAACCCAGACCGCCAGCUAAGGUCCCAAAGUCAUGGUUAAGUGGGAAACGAUGUGGGAAGGCCCAGACAGCCAGGAUGUUGGCUUAGAAGCAGCCAUCAUUUAAAGAAAGCGUAAUAGCUCACUGGUCGAGUCGGCCUGCGCGGAAGAUGUAACGGGGCUAAACCAUGCACCGAAGCUGCGGCAGCGACGCUUAUGCGUUGUUGGGUAGGGGAGCGUUCUGUAAGCCUGCGAAGGUGUGCUGUGAGGCAUGCUGGAGGUAUCAGAAGUGCGAAUGCUGACAUAAGUAACGAUAAAGCGGGUGAAAAGCCCGCUCGCCGGAAGACCAAGGGUUCCUGUCCAACGUUAAUCGGGGCAGGGUGAGUCGACCCCUAAGGCGAGGCCGAAAGGCGUAGUCGAUGGGAAACAGGUUAAUAUUCCUGUACUUGGUGUUACUGCGAAGGGGGGACGGAGAAGGCUAUGUUGGCCGGGCGACGGUUGUCCCGGUUUAAGCGUGUAGGCUGGUUUUCCAGGCAAAUCCGGAAAAUCAAGGCUGAGGCGUGAUGACGAGGCACUACGGUGCUGAAGCAACAAAUGCCCUGCUUCCAGGAAAAGCCUCUAAGCAUCAGGUAACAUCAAAUCGUACCCCAAACCGACACAGGUGGUCAGGUAGAGAAUACCAAGGCGCUUGAGAGAACUCGGGUGAAGGAACUAGGCAAAAUGGUGCCGUAACUUCGGGAGAAGGCACGCUGAUAUGUAGGUGAAGUCCCUUGCGGAUGGAGCUGAAAUCAGUCGAAGAUACCAGCUGGCUGCAACUGUUUAUUAAAAACACAGCACUGUGCAAACACGAAAGUGGACGUAUACGGUGUGACGCCUGCCCGGUGCCGGAAGGUUAAUUGAUGGGGUCAGCGCAAGCGAAGCUCUUGAUCGAAGCCCCGGUAAACGGCGGCCGUAACUAUAACGGUCCUAAGGUAGCGAAAUUCCUUGUCGGGUAAGUUCCGACCUGCACGAAUGGCGUAAUGAUGGCCAGGCUGUCUCCACCCGAGACUCAGUGAAAUUGAACUCGCUGUGAAGAUGCAGUGUACCCGCGGCAAGACGGAAAGACCCCGUGAACCUUUACUAUAGCUUGACACUGAACAUUGAGCCUUGAUGUGUAGGAUAGGUGGGAGGCUUUGAAGUGUGGACGCCAGUCUGCAUGGAGCCGGCCUUGAAAUACCACCCUUUAAUGUUUGAUGUUCUAACGUGGACCCGUGAUCCGGGUUGCGGACAGUGUCUGGUGGGUAGUUUGACUGGGGCGGUCUCCUCCUAAAGAGUAACGGAGGAGCACGAAGGUUGGCUAAUCCUGGUCGGACAUCAGGAGGUUAGUGCAAUGGCAUAAGCCAGCUUGACUGCGAGCGUGACGGCGCGAGCAGGUGCGAAAGCAGGUCAUAGUGAUCCGGUGGUUCUGAAUGGAAGGGCCAUCGCUCAACGGAUAAAAGGUACUCCGGGGAUAACAGGCUGAUACCGCCCAAGAGUUCAUAUCGACGGCGGUGUUUGGCACCUCGAUGUCGGCUCAUCACAUCCUGGGGCUGAAGUAGGUCCCAAGGGUAUGGCUGUUCGCCAUUUAAAGUGGUACGCGAGCUGGGUUUAGAACGUCGUGAGACAGUUCGGUCCCUAUCUGCCGUGGGCGCUGGAGAACUGAGGGGGGCUGCUCCUAGUACGAGAGGACCGGAGUGGACGCAUCACUGGUGUUCGGGUUGUCAUGCCAAUGGCACUGCCCGGUAGCUAAAUGCGGAAGAGAUAAGUGCUGAAAGCAUCUAAGCACGAAACUUGCCCCGAGAUGAGUUCUCCCUGACCCUUUAAGGGUCCUGAAGGAACGUUGAAGACGACGACGUUGAUAGGCCGGGUGUGUAAGCGCAGCGAUGCGUUGAGCUAACCGGUACUAAUGAACCGUGAGGCUUAACCUU